GGAGAGGUACCGAAGCGGUCAUAACGGCGCCGACUCGAAAUCGGAUGGGGGCAGAAAUGUCCCACGAGGGUUCGAAUCCCUCCCUCUCCGCCA
rnacentral:tRNA from 1 species